rnacentral:tRNA from 1 species
GGGGUUCUGGCUCAGUGGUAGAGUGCUUGCCUCCCAUGUGUGAGGCACUGGGUUCAAUUCUCAGGACCACA